UGGUCUGCAACCAGAGGAACCGAUGACUGUCUCGAUGUCACCUCUAAGGACCAGAGGAGGGAACUCCAAACCCCGUGGACAUGGUUUAGCCGGCUCUCCGUUCCGUGGGCUACAAGUCAACUCAUUGGGCACUUCAGCUGUUAGAGAAUCAUCGUUUUGAUGUUUGUGUGUCCUACAUAUGCGUGAAAUGAACAGACCACUAUUAGAAAGCGGAUAUCGGGGAUUAUUACAAUUAGGGGAGCAAGCGACUCAAAGCGGAGCGGCAGCGAGCAGGAGGCGCGCGUACGGACAACACGCACGUGUGCCGCUUUGGUUUCUAUUUGGCUCUCUGCGCACUGAAAUAGUUUGAACACUCCUCUUCCAUCUGAGUAUCCAGGCUGGGGGGAUUCUGCGUGUUGGAGCAUUUGGAGAAGAGCUGUGGUGAAGAUGCAGCGGAGGGCAGUGUCGCAUCUGUGGCUGCUGGUCCUCGCCGUGCUGUGGGUGUCCGUCCGUGGGUUUCCCACGCAGGUCAGCAAGACCUCAGCCAGAGGGAGAAACACCACGGCGUCUGUUCCUGAGGUGAUAGCAGAGCCUAGCCAAGGCGACAGUCACAAGACUCUCCGGGAGCUCCAGCAGGAGAAUCUGCUGCAGACUCUUCCCUCUGGUCCGUCUCUCCAUAGGCCCAGGCAUCGCUGGUCCCAGGACCUUCACCCAGGUGUCCUCCCACCACCUGAACCUGAGGAGGACACUAAUCGUUUUGUCCUGGACCUGAGGAACUUCCCAGAGCUGGCCAAUGCAGACAUGAGCUCACAGAACCCCAACAUCCAGGUGACCAUCGAGGUGGUAGACGACAAACAGACGGAGACGGAGGUGGAGAUGGACCUGGUCAAGGAGGGCCAGCGUAACGACUGGUCGCUGUCGUCCUCAGAAUGGGCCAAUAGCCACAAGAAGCUGUUCUGGCCACUGUUCUGGGAGUACCCAGAGCAGCCGGAGAACGGGCUGGAGAGAGCCAGUUUGGAGGAACCAUCGGAGGACCACAUCUACGACCCCGAGGAGCCCGUUCUGAGUGGAGUCGGGGGAGACUGGGGCGGUCACUGGAACAAAGACUGGGAUACAAAGGAUAACUAUGAGUAUGAGGAGGAGUGGGGUGACUGGGCUCCCUGCAGCAUCACCUGUGGACAUGGCACCCAGAAACGCACCCGUUCAUGUGGCUACGCGUGCAUGGCGACUGAGUCACGCACGUGUGACUUGGAGAACUGUGCCGACAUUGCCAAUUCAGUGACUGAACUGACACCCAUCCAGACGACCAACAGCACCGACUCCCUGGACACAAAUGUAGACAGCUGUGAGAAGUGGCUGAGCUGCAAGAAUGACUUCCUCCAAAAGUACCUGCACCAAGUGCUCACAGAGCUCCCCAGCUGCCCAUGUUCCUACCCCUCUGAGGCGGUUUACAGUGCCGUCAACAUCCAGGACGAAAAACUGCGCAAGACCUAUCGCUGGAGGGACGCGAGCGGACCCAAAGAACGCCUUGACAUCUACAAACCUUCAGCCAGGUUCUGCAUCCGCUCAAUGCUGUCGUAUGAAAGCACAACGUUGGCGGCGCAGCACUGCUGCUACGACGAUCAGAUAAGACUGAUCACGCGAGGGAAAGGAGCAGGAGCGCCAAAUUUAAUCAGUACAGAGUUCUCACCAGAGCUGCAUUACAAGGUGGAUGUAUUGCCCUGGAUUCUGUGCAAGGGGGACUGGAGUAGGUUUCACUCGGUAAGGCCGCCCAAUAAUGGGCUGGACUGUUCAGACAACCCCCCUGAACAAGUGUUUCAGGUGGAACUUAAAGAGGCCAGGGAGUACUGACAGUGUGAUAACAAGAAGGGAGGACAACAUGGACACAAUGAUGGUAGCUGCUUGUUCAAAUCCUCAUUUCUCUUGUUUACUUUCUCCAUUCUGCACAAGCACAGAAAAACUAAACAGCUACAUGUAUACGGAAUUUCUGUGGCGCCAGCUGAAGUGUUUUGGUGUAUUUGCAAGCUUUGUUGGCCUCCAGCAUCAAUUGACACUUUGGUCCCCUUGGCUUUAAAAUACAAUGAAUAAAAACAUGAAUGGAAGGCAUGGACAACCAAAAAUGGUGACGAUUUUUUGUAGUAUUAAUCAGACUUUGUCACUGAUGUUGGAACCCUUGGAAGGACAAUGAUGAUGAAAUCUGUGUUUUAAAGCAUGUUAACAGCUAAUCCCUGUUCCUGUAUGUUGCUGCUACUCUGUUGGGAUGAGCUGAGGUGAAUGUCUCUGAUGGCAGUGGCGUGCGUGAGUGUGUGUGUGUGUGUUGGUGUGUGUGUGUGUGUGUGUGCGUGCAUACAGAGGAUGAGCUUAUUUAUUGGCCCCUGAACUAUUUUAAUCCGAUCUAGUUUCCCAGGAAAGGGAUUCCUGAUUUGCUGGUAAGCAGGAAAUAAAGUCAAAUGGACCUUUGUACUAUACAUGCUUUAUUUCCUAAUCUUUACAAAUAUUAUGACAUACUUAUUGCCGGAGCAUGUCUGGGAGUUUCUUCCUGUCCACAUCUUCAGUUUCAUGGAAAACAUACAUAUGUUCCAUGAAACGCAGAGGAAAACUUUCAGGCGUAUUAAGCCCCAUUUGGACUCAACGAUACAAUUAUCUAAGAAUUCUGGGAAAAGGUGUUUCUGUUCUGCUGUGUUUUUCUGAUUUAAAGAAAUACCUCAAAGUCCUGUGGAAUAUCUCACCUGCUUAGAGGUCAGUUGCUGCAAGAUUUGGAGUAUGUCAUUCGGAAAACAGAGCAGAAUUUCUUUUCACAUGACAAUUUAUCUCAGAAUUCUGAGAUAAUGAAUUAUCAGGAAAACAUUUUUUUUUGUUAUUUAUCCUAAGAAAUUCCAUAAGAUUUUCUUUAGUGAAAGAUUUAACAUUCCUACAGCAUUCAUGCUAAGCUGAGGACAUUUGAACGUAUACUUGCAUAUUUUAAAAGGGGAUUUGGUUCACAUACCAUUUUGAAAUCAUUUUCAAGUUUGUCAUUCAUACUGACAUGCCAAAACAAAUAAAAUAUUUUUACAUCUCUUUACUGCCUUGAACAUAGUGUUUGUGGGUGGAAAGCCAGUGAAGGCUGACAUAAUGGUACUCCAAUAGUGCUGGAUUUUCCACUGGAUAUCACUCUUUUGACCAGAUGUC